UUCCUGCAUCAUCUGUGUCUGUGCCUGCAAACUUGUAUACUGUGUGCAAACAUUUGAAGAGUCAGGGUUUUGGAAAUUUCUACCAACGUUUUACAGCUGUUACAAAUGCUUUUCCCAUUUUCUCUAUCUACAUUGAAUGUACAAGGCAGAUUUGUUUCUAGCUGCUCAGAUUCAUGCAGCAAUUAAAUGGUUCAAUGUUGACAUGACUCAAUUCCCUCUCUUAUCCAGAUUGAAU